rnacentral:tmRNA from 1 species
AGGCUUCAAAUCGGGACUGCGAUGGCCUAUAUUGGCAAUUGCCGCCUCACGGCGGCUAUGGCGAUAAAUGACGGCCGCAAUAAACCAUUCGGACCCGGGGGCGGUACCCGGCGCCUCCACCUGGAACCGGACCCCCGGUUCGAGGUGGGGGCGAAAUAGGAUCGACGAGGGCGUAAAGGGUUUGUUUUUGCCCGGCAUGGUUCCACCGUUAUCGGACCACAAGCACAGUUGCCAAUGACAACUAUGCUCCGGUUGCCGUCGCUGCGUAAUGCAGCGUAAGCUUCCGAAAUCAAGCCCUUCCGCUUAGCCGCGUAAGGCGGGGUCUGGAGGCGCCCGGCAACAGAAGCCUCCGCU